CACGUAGGGGGCAAGCGUUGUCCGGAUUUAUUGGGCGUAAAGAGCUCGUAGGCGGUUCGCUAAGUCGGGUGUGAAACCUCCAGGCUCAACCUGGAGACGCCACCUGAUACUGGUGUGACUCGAGUCCGGUAGGGGAGCGUGGAAUUCCUGGUGUAGCGGUGAAAUGCGCAGAUAUCAGGAGGAACACCAGCGGCGAAGGCGGCGCUCUGGGCCGGAACUGACGCUGAGGUGCGAGAGCGUGGGGAGCGAACCGG
rnacentral:rRNA from 1 species